AGCUCUCUGUAUAGUGAUGCCCACAUUUUUGUCUGUAAAGAGAUAAUUUGUCGCUAAAGCUGAAACGUUGAUGUUCGCUAUUUGAAAGUCCUUAAAUCUCUUGAAAACAAACCUUAACUUAUGAUGUGUUGUACGAAUUGUUUCAGUGCUUGAAAUGAGUUUACCAAAGCCUUAGGUUACAUAAGAUUAAAAC